GGAGAAUGAACAAGGGAACUCAAAGCGAAGGUCUGGCAUUUUAGGAUGGUGAGUGUGCUCUGUACCUGGCUGCUUUCCAUAGGCACGUAGGACCAAAUU